CGUUGAGAUUGACCAGGAGCUGUCCUAUGAGGAACAGCCAAUUGAGGUUGUUGAUACGCAAGUGCGUAAGUUACGGAACAAGGAGAUUCCGAUGGUCAAAGUUCUGUGGCGAAAUCAUUCUGUUGAGGAGUGCACUUGGGAGACGGAGUCCGAUAUGCGGAAACGUUAUCCUUUCCUCUUUCCUUGAGACCCGUCGACUGUUCGUACUUCAGAGGCGAACCAGAGUUAGGUGCUUGUCAGGAUCACGUGGAUUUAGCAAGCAGUUUAUGAUUUGAGCGUUGGUCUAUCUCCGUUUCUUCAUUCUCGGAGGUUUUAUUUUAUUUUCAGAAUAAAAGAGUCGAACUGUUUUAAACUCUUAGACCGCAGUAGUAGUAUCAGUUAUUCAUGUCUUAGUCUUUUAUUUAUAUUUUUGACUAUUGUUGUUGGAUUUGUCCAACUAUUACUUUAUCGCUUUUGGCAUGAUAAUUACAGUGUUUAUGGUAUUUAUAUUAUAUUGCCAUACUGUUGGAGAUUUUUCUGAGAUAAGCGUAAUUUAAAUAUAUAUUGCUUUAUGUA